GCCUCCAUCCUCUACCAGAAAUGCUCCCUGGGCAAAAUCCUGCCCUGAGGGGGAAAAAAAAGCCUUAUCAGAGAAAUUGCUGGCCAUCAGGCAGGUAUAUGCUCUUCCAGAGGGAAAAAUGACUCCUUUGUGAUGGUGGAUCAGGCGAGACACGUGCUCCCAAAUGUCUGGUGGGACGGGGCCAGACCUACAGCUCCUGAGCAAGGAUUAGCGAAGGGCGCUCAACCAUGGCAGCCCCAACUGUUUCCUUUCAAUUCUGCUGCGCAGACAUUUUUCAGAGUUUCUUCUUGGAGCAGCAUUUCUCCAUCUCUCCUUGCAACAAUUUGGGGUGAAACCAAAGGUUUCUGCCAGGUCAGAAGUGCCGACGUUUGCUGUGGGAAGCCGCUGGCCAUGGGUGCGGGACCUCGCAGCUGAACACCUUGAUGUCCUUCAGCGGUCAUGACAGCUAUGGGACCGCAGGAGGAACACACAAAGUCCCCUUUUCACACUCCUCCUCUGCUCCUGUCGCUGUGCCCCACAGCUCCCAGAUUUGCCAGGGCCGCUGGAGCCCACCUCUGCCACCUCAUUCCUGGUUUGUCCCUCCUGAGUUUUAUCAUCCCUGCAGAAAGUCUCCUGGCCUCUGCUACUCUCCUCUCUCUAGGAAGCCAUCUCCAUCCCACUUCUGGCACAUCCCUCUCACCUCCACUCCUCUGCAUCCCACCAUCACCUUCUGCUCUCCCCAAAAUACCACGGCCCAUCUGGGGCCAAUUUAAGGGACGCUGGAGAGGGCCUGGGUGGAGGGGUUGCUGGGACGGUCAGGGCUGAGGACGCACGAGGAGGGGCAGGGACCUGGGCCAAGAGGUGGCUGGGGUCUCUAGACCACAACUCAUGGAUGAUCCCAGCAUGGAGAGGUCCAUGGUGGAGCACCGGUAGCCAGCCUCCUCCUCUUCCUCACAUGAAGCCACAAGCCAGGUUCACCUCCUGAAGGUAAGCAGGCACCAGAGAGGCAGUCACCUGCCUUGGACACCCCCCCCCUCAGAUGCCGGGUGCCCCACGGGGUGCCGGGCGCCCCGAGGGAUGCUGGGUGCCCUUCUGGCAUGGUCAUGGUCCCCUGCCCCUGUGCAAACCACCCCUGGUAAACGUUAACAGGCCAGGGGCCAGAGGGGAGAGGCAGAAAGCGUCCGGGUGAUUCAUUCACGAGGCAUUUAAUCGCCUCCUUCAACCCCAGCUCUCUGUCCACCACCUUUCAGCGGGGGCUCGCUUUAAUUCUCCACCAGCCGAUUAGCCGCUUGACUGCCCGCCGCCGGGGAGGCACCGCCGGGCAGCCGGACCCCGGUGGGAGCGGGAAGGCGAUGGCACGGGGCUGCGAUCGAGACGUAAAACAGGGCAAGCAGAGCUUCCCCCCGCCUCCCCAGCAAAGCGGGGUGCUGCCUCCCCCACGGCGGGGUGCAUUCCAGCCCCGCGGGGAUUAGUCCUUGCGUAAAUACUGUCUCUGUUAAUGGAGCGUCCUCCUCGGCUGGGUUUAGAUUCCCGGGCUGUGUGUACGCACGCCAUCAACCCCCAACAUAAACAAGGCUGAGGCUGAGGGAUGCUGGCUCCUCCGCUCCGGGGAUGCGGGAGGACCGGGCUCAGCCUCCGGCCCCGCCACCCGUAGCUGUUUUUCCGGACCGGCAGCCAAACGUCGCCGGACGGGAGGAGAGGAGCAGCCCUUGGGGAAGAGCAAGUCCGGAGCUGCCGGGGCUGGAACGAGGAAGCGGUGGAGGAAAAGCCAACGAAAAGCCAAGGGAGCCGAUGGGGGGGUGGCAACAGAGCGGAGGAGUGGUGGGCACGGGUGGGGGCUUGUUCCCAAAGCCUCCAGACCAGGCGCUUCGGGGAGGAAAGCAAGCAGGAGCAUAGUGGGGGAUGCAACAGAGGGGCCACAGGGGCAAACCUUAUCCAACCACUGGGCACCUUCCCCCCUGAAACUGUCCCUGGGGUCCUCUCUCCACACCCCGGUCCCCCAGGAUGAGGGAUCUGGCAUGGGAUGGGGACGAGGGCCACGAGUCUGGCUCUCCGGAGCUGCUCUGCUACCAAAUAAGGCCUCCGUCAAGCCUUUUACAUGCUGUUCUCACCCGGCCGGAGUGACGUGACCUCCUUUCCAAAUUGCUCUGCUCCUACCCACCAGGGUCCUGUGGGGGGAUCCCAUCCCACCAGGGGGUCCCUCUCGGGGGGGAGGCAAGAGGGAUGGGGAGGCUGCCCCAGGGUGUCAGGAGCAGGCAGCAGGACCCUUGCCAGCCCGGGGACGAGGCAGGAGAAGGGAAGCCGAAAUGGGGGCUUGUUCCACCUCUCAGCGCCCUGAUCAAUCUCCCUGGAUGGGUGCUGCCUGUCCCUCUUGGUUUUUUUGAGGGGGGAUAAGGCUGGAAGGCAAGCCCUAGGGAGGGGAGAGGUUUGCAGGGCGCAGUGGCUGGGCAGCCCCACUUCCCUUUCACUUAAGCAAAUACUCAACAGCACCGGCUCUUCCAGCCAGAGCUGGGAAAAACUAGCGCAGGGAAAAUACCUGCCUGGCACCAGAGGAGCCCAGCUUGCAAGCACGAGCAGCCAUUGCCCUCCUAACAUGUUCCCAGCAUGGCGGGGGACCCUGGCACCUUGCAGCCAUCCCCUCCAGGGACUCCUCACGUCCAGUAUCCCCCCCGGGGCAGGGCUGCAUGGCAAGGUCAGGGGGUCCCCAAGGGCCAGCAGUGCGAUGGCCGGCCCCUCGCCCCCCAGAUCCAGCUGCCCUUCACCGGUGCGGUUCAUGCCACACCGUUGGGAGAGACAACAGGCCUCCAUGGACAUCUCCCACCACCACGCCUGUCCGAGCCACAUCGCCGCAUCACCCACAAGGACCCGGCAGCAUCGUCCGCCCUGCACCCGGUGAGGCCGCCAGUGGCAAAAUGCCCCAUUAUUGGAGCUCUUUGGGAAACUUUGGUAAGUUUCAGGCUGGAACCGCCUCUGGAAUAAGAAAAUCAAGGUAGGUGACAGCAGGCAAGCGGCUCUGCAGUGCGUGUCAGUGUUACCUAUCAACCUGAGACCGCACCGAAAAGCCGGUGGGGACAUGCCGGAGCAGCCCAGCAGGUGAAAGGCGAGGAGGAGAUCCUAUCUGCCCGCCUUCACCCUCCCAAAGUCCAAAUUCCCAUCUCAAGGUCACGGGCAAAACCAGGAACUUCGUAGUUGCAACGGAGAAAACCCGCUCUCUCGUCCCCGUGGCGGGGCGUGGGGUUUGUCUUCCUUGGGGAUGAGCGUGUUUCGUACAGCUUUGGGGUAAGCCUGGGCUGGACCUUGCACCCUGCUUACUUGAUUUUAAAUCUUGUCUUUUUGGGUUGACCCCAGCCCUGCCACAUCCCCACAGAUGGGACUGUGGUCCUGCAGGGCGGCCCUUGGCUCUGGAGCAGCGGGAUGGACACCCUCGGGGUGAGAAUGAGUUGACCGUGUCCAGAGCAGACGCUGCCCGCGCACAAUACGCAGGGACCAGAGGUGACGCCGCUGAGGACAUCCUGCUGAUGGCUGAGGGCUUGUACCGAAUGGGCGUUUAAGGUCACGGCUCGCCUUUCCGCGACUCAGAGGCCAAAACAGACCCGCAGGCAGCUGCCCGCACGUCCUGCCGGCUGCCCGGACAGACUCAGCCCUGCCACCGAUGUUUUCCAGCCUUCCCGCGGCGGUGAUUUACAGAGCAGAACCUCUCGUGCUGGGAGGGAGAUGGAAACGAGCCGUGCCAGCUGGAUUUGGGGGAGCGGGAAGUGUCUGGUGACGAGGGCACACGGCCCCAGAGGGAAUCUAAAGCAUGGGGAGCGAUCCCGUUACCCAAAUCUGCUGGACCCUCUUGCUUUUGGGGAAUUUAUGCUCCAACAUCCAUUUCCUUCUGUGCUGAGACAAAACGUCAGGCUGUGUCGUUCAAAGAUAGAAGGGGAAGUUGUGAACAACAUCCCUGGGGAAUUUCGGGGGCCAGCUGGGAAGCGCGGACGUGUCCAAAGCUCACCGGAAGAACGGCUGACGAGCGGAGGAGCUUCAGCUCCGCUCUGGACCCUCCGGGAGGGAAGCCGGGCUGGAGGCAGCCCCCGGGGGAUGGGGAGAGAGAGCGGCCCCGGCCCCGGAGCCUUUCCCACCCCGCGAUCCGCAUGGAUUUGGGGCUGCGAGGCCAGGCCACCCCUCUCUCCGAGGAGCCCGGCUCUCCCCCGGCGUGGGCCCAUCUCCCUCUGCCGGCAGGCCGGGGAAGGAGCAGGAGCGGGGCGGCGACGCCCGGGGUGUCCCCGAGGGAUCCGUCCGGAGGCGAGUGGAAAGCGGUGGCAGCGAAGUCCGUACUUGUAGGACCAGGACUACAAGUAUCUCU